UCCUCGUUUAAGCGAGGCAGUCUGUCCAGAGUGCUCCAAACUCUCGUUUGGGUGGCAACAGGACACAAGGGUUGCGCUCGUUGCGGGACUUAACCCAACAUCUCACGACACGAGCUGACGACAGCCAUGCAGCACCUGUGCAAGCUCCCCUUGCGGGGUCGUCCCACUUUCAUGGUUCUACCACUUGCAUGUCAAGGCCAGGUAAGGUUUUUCGCGUUGCAUCGAAUUAAUCCACAUAAUCCACCGCUUGUGCGGGUCCCCGUCAAUUCCUUUGAGUUUUAAGCUUGCGCUCGUAGUUCCCAGGCGGGCCACUUCCCGCGUUUGCUAAGGCCCCCAAGAACGGUAAAUCUGCCCCCAAAGGCCGAGUGGCCAUCGUUUACGGCGUGGACUAC
rnacentral:misc_RNA from 1 species